rnacentral:tRNA from 2 species
GCAGUCGUGGCCGAGUGGUUAAGGCGAAGGACUAGAAAUCCAUCGGGGUCUCCCCGCACAGGUUCGAAUCCUGUCGACUGCG